rnacentral:rRNA from 1 species
GAUAAAAGGUACUCCGGGGAUAACAGGCUGAUACCGCCCAAGAGUUCAUAUCGACGGCGGUGUUUGGCACCUCGAUGUCGGCUCAUCACAUCCUGGGGCUGAAGUAGGUCCCAAGGGUAUGGCUGUUCGCCAUUUAAAGUGGUACGCGAGCUGGGUUUAGAACGUCGUGAGACAGUUCGGUCCCUAUCUGCCGUGGGCGCUGGAGAACUGAGGGGGGCUGCUCCUAGUACGAGAGGACCGGAGUGGACGCAUCACUGGUGUUCGGGUUGUCAUGCCAAUGGCACUGCCCGGUAGCUAAAUGCGGAAGAGAUAAGUGCUGAAAGCAUCUAAGCACGAAACUUGCCCCGAGAUGAGUUCUCCCUGACUCCUUGAGAGUCCUGAAGGAACGUUGAAGACGACGACGUUGAUAGGCCGGGUGUGUAAGCGCAGCGAUGCGUUGAGCUAACCGGUACUAAUGAACCGUGAGGCUUAACCUUACAACGCCGAAGCUGUU